CCUCUUCAAUUGAUGUUAGUGGGAGCGGCAUGUUUGUAUCCGGGAUCACACAGAAUGAUCCCGGAACAAUCACUGGACAAGUUUCAACUGACAUGAUAGGAAACUCUAAAAGAAGACGUGGUCCAAAUGUUGAAACUCUUCUAUCGGAUAAUGUGUUGAAGAAGGCGCAUUCUCAAGACAAGGAAAACCAUGUCCCUGUUCAUGUCCUGGGACGUACAGGUCAUGGACUAAAUAUUGAGAAUCGUUUUCGUGAUGGUAUAUAU